rnacentral:rRNA from 1 species
AUAGAAGACACGAUAGCCUACUUCGACGAGAAAGCAAAAGUAGAUCCUGAUUUCUUCUACAGGAUAAGAUUGGACUAUGAGGACCGCGUCAGAAACAUGUAUUAGGUGGAUGGUGCUGCAAGAAGAGCCUACAAACAUUUCCGAGAUUGCAUUUCGUUCAACGCGACAUAUCUCACUAAUAUGUACAAGAUGCCCUGCGUUCCAUUCAUAGGAAUAAAUAACCACAAUCAGUCAUUGCAGUUCGGUUGCGGGCUCGUUCGGAACGAAGAUACGAAUGGGUACACUUGGCUGUUCAAAACCUUCUUGGAGUGCAUGGGUGGACUUGCUCCGAUGAACAUAAUAACAAACCAGGAUUUUAGCAUGCGUGCAGGCAUAGAGGAGGUCUUUCCGUUGGCAGUGCACAUGCACUGCAGGUGGCAUAUUAUUAAGAAGGCUGAGGAGACGCUAGGAACAUUCUUUGCUGACCGUCCAGAGCUACACAAGGCAUUCGAGUUGUGCGUGGACCACAGCUUGAUGGUGGAGGAGUUUGAACGGAGCUGGACAGCUAUGAUUGAAACAUAUCAAGUCCAAGACAACGAGACACUUACUAGCCUGUGGGAGAAGCGAAUGUACUGGGUGCCGGCCUACUUCAUGCAGUGCUCCUUCCCAUUUCUGCAUACCAUGCAGCGCAGGGAGGGGUUCAAUGCUGUUUGA